rnacentral:pre_miRNA from 1 species
UCUUAUGGAUAAGCAAAAGAAAGUGGUUUCUUGAGGUGGAAACCACUUCUGGUGAAGAUGCUGUGGU